rnacentral:rRNA from 1 species
AAAAACGGGUUGAUUCGGGCUCGGCCGAUCCUCCCACCCUUUGUGUACCUACCUCUGUUGCUUUGGCGGGCCGCGGUCCUCCGCGGCCGCCCCCCUCCCCGGGGGGGUGGCCAGCGCCCGCCAGAGGACCAUCAAACUCCAGUCAGUAAACGAUGCAGUCUGAAAAACAUUUAAUAAACUAAAACUUUCAACAACGGAUCUCUUGGUUCUGGCAUCGAUGAAGAACGCAGCGAAAUGCGAUAAGUAAUGUGAAUUGCAGAAUUCAGUGAAUCAUCGAAUCUUUGAACGCACAUUGCGCCCUUUGGUAUUCCGAAGGGCAUGCCUGUUCGAGCGUCAUUACAACCCUCAAGCUCUGCUUGGUAUUGGGCACCGUCCUUUGCGGGCGCGCCUCAAAGACCUCGGCGGUGGCGUCUUGCCUCAAGCGUAGUAGAACAUACAUCUCGCUUCGGAGCGCAGGGCGUCGCCCGCCGGACGAACCUUCUGAACUUUUCUCAAGGUUGACCUCGGAUCAGGUAGGGAUACCCGCUGAACUUAAGCAUAUCAAUAAGCGGAGGAA